rnacentral:rRNA from 1 species
UACGUAGGGUGCGAGCGUUGUCCGGAAUUAUUGGGCGUAAAGAGCUCGUAGGCGGUGUGUCACGUCGGCCGUGAAAACCUGCAGCUUAACUGUGGGGCGUGCGGUCGAUACGGGCAUCACUGGAGUUCGGCAGGGGAGACUGGAAUUCCUGGUGUAGCGGUGAAAUGCGCAGAUAUCAGGAGGAACACCGGUGGCGAAGGCGGGUCUCUGGGCCGAUACUGACGCUGAGGAGCGAAAGCGUGGGGAGCAAACAGG